GAUGAACGCUAGCUACAGGCUUAACACAUGCAAGUCGAGGGGCAGCGGGGAGGAUGCUUGCAUUCUCUGCCGGCGACCGGCGCACGGGUGAGUAACGCGUACCGAACCUGCCUCAUACUCGGGAAUAGCCUUGCGAAAGUAAGAUUAAUGCCCGGUGUUCCGCGAGGGCCGCAUGGCCUUUUCGGCAAAGUUUUUUACGGUAUGAGAUGGCGGUGCGUCCCAUUAGCUUGUUGGCGGGGUAAUGGCCUACCAAGGCGUCGACGGGUAGCCGGCCUGAGAGGGUGUACGGCCACAUUGGGACUGAGACACGGCCCAG
rnacentral:rRNA from 1 species